rnacentral:rRNA from 1 species
GACGAACGCUGACGGCGUGCUUAACACAUGCAAGUCGAAGGGAGUGGCGAACGGGGUGGUAACACGUGAGUAAACUGCCCCUGUUCUUGAGAUUAGCCUUGGAAACUGGGGCUAAUAAUUGAUGGAUUGGGGGGGGCUCGCGGCUUAUCAGCUUGUUGGUUGGGUGAUGGGUUACCAAGGCUUUGACGGGUAGCCGGCCUGAGAGGGGGUUCGGUGCCACUGGGACUGAGAUACGGCCCAGACUCCUACGGGAGGCAGCAGUGGGGGAUAUUGCAGAAUGGACGAAAGUCUGAUGCAGCGACGUCGUGUGGGGGAUGAAGGCCUUCGGGUUGUAAACUCCUUUCGCCCGCGGAAUGGUAGUGGGUAAAGAAGCGCCGGCUAACUACGUGCCAGCCGCCGCGGUAAUAC